AUGUGGUUCAGUGCGAUAGCUAAGAUCAAACUGAACCAAGUCUAAAAGACUUUGAUGUGAAUGUUGAAGAUCUAAAAUUCUACAUUCUUACAAUAAAUAUUGGCAUUAGUUUCUUAUGUUUUGUAGCCACAACAUAUUUGUUGACAAGGAUAUAUUAUAGCUAUUUAAAUAAUAAUAGGAAAAAGGCACCAUCUUUUUAUUUUAAUAUUAAAGACAAUAACUCUAGCUUCAUCAAGUAUAUUUUUACAGCUUCCAUCUGUGAUUUGGGAUUUAUCAGUUUAUAGUUAUCAUCUUCAUUUUAUAUCCUUGUAUAUAACUCUAAGUCAAUUACUGGCGUACAAAGUUAUUUCUUCAUGUCCAAAGAUAUGGUGUUUACUCACUAUAUUUUCAUCUGUGUUUAUCAAAAGUUUUAUUAAUCAGUAUUUAAAUAGAGUUAUUAGUUUUGGUAUCAUCUAAAUGGGAAGAUUUUUUUUAAUAUAAAUACAUAUUACUUUGCA